CACGUAGUUAGCCGUGACUUAUUCCUCAGGUACCGUCCAUUCUCUUCCCUGAGAAAAGGAGUUUACAAUCCAAAGACCGUCAUCCUCCACGCGGCGUUGCUGCAUCAGACUUGCGUCCAUUGUGCAAUAUUCCUCACUGCUGCCCCCCGUAGGAGUCGGGACCGUGUCUCAGUUCCCGUGUGGCUAAUCAUCCUCUCAGACUAGCUACCGAUCAUCGUCUUGGUGAGCCGUUACCUCACCAACUAACUAAUCGGACGCAGGCCCCUCGCGCAGCACCAAGGUUUUAACCGUUUAGAUUCCCAUCUUAACGGUACCAUGCGGUAUUAGCGACCGUUUCCAGUCGUUAUCCCCCUCUGCGCGGCAGGUUACCUACGUGUUACCUCACCCGUUCGCCACUUUCGAGUCUAUUGCUAAACUCUAACGUUCGACUUGCAUGUGUUAGGCACGCCGCAGCGUUCAUCCUGAGCCAGGAUCAAACUCCU
rnacentral:rRNA from 1 species